rnacentral:rRNA from 1 species
AUUGAACGCUAGCGGCAGGCCUAACACAUGCAAGUAGAGCGAGCGGCGGAAGGGUGAGUCAUGUAUGGGGAAUGACAGAUAGAGGGGGAUAACUACUGGACACGGUAGCUAAUACAGCAUACUAUCGGAUAACCCAUAGGGGCUUAGCUAGUAGGUGAGGUAAUGGCUCACCUAGGCGACGGGGCCUAGCUGGUCUGAGAGGAUGUUCAGCCACACGGGGACGGAGACACGGCCCAUACUCCAAGGGAGGCAGCAGUGGGGAAUAUUGGACAAUGGGCGCAAGCCUGAGGCAGUCAUGCCGCGUGUAUGCAGAAGGCCCUAGGGUUGUAAAGUACUUUCAGUCGGGAGGCGUUACCGACAGAAGAAGCACCGGCUAACUCCGUGCCAGCCGCCGCGGUAAUUC